GGAUGGAUGUCUGAGCGGUUUAAAGUACUAGUCUUGAAAACUAGCGCAUACACAAUGCCAUGGGUUCGAAUCCCAUUCCAUCCU
rnacentral:tRNA from 1 species